CAAAAUAUAGCUUAAUUAAAGCAUUUCGCUUACACCGAAAAGAUAUCUGUUAACACAAAUUAUNNGGNG
rnacentral:tRNA from 1 species